UGACAUCAAACCUCACAAUAUUCUCCUAGAUGAAAAGUUCAAAGCUAAAGUGUCAGAUUUUGGACUCGCAAAACUAUAUCCUACAGAAAAUAGUAUAGUGUCUCUCCCAGCACCAAGAGGAACAAUGGGUUACAUGGCUCCAGAAUUAUUCUACAAGAACAUUGGAGGGGUAUCUUACAAAGCUGAUGUUUAUAGUUUUGGAAUGUUGUUGAUGGAAAUGGCUGGUAGAAGGAAGAAUUUGAAUGCAUUUGCAGAUCAUUCAAGCCAAAUUUAUUUCCCCUCAUGGGUUUAUGACCAAUUUAGCGACGGAAAAGACAUAGAAAUUGAAGAUGCAACAGAGGAGGAAAAGAAAUUAACCAAGAAAAUGAUGAUAGUAGCAUUAUGGUCCAUACAAAUGAGGCCUAGUGAUCGUCCCUCGAUGAACAAAAUUGUAGAGAUGCUCGAAGGAGAAGUUGAAUCAUUGCAUAUGCCUCCCAAACCUUUUCUAUCUCCACAAGAGCUGCAUCAACUGGAUACUGGAAUCAACAUGAAAGCACCAGCAUUUCCAAACUCAUCAAAUGAUAGAGCAGAUUCUGAAAAUUCAAUUGUAAGUCCAACCUGAGUGAUCUUACAUCAGAGUAGUGCACUUAUUAUCUGAGAAGUGCAAUUUAGGCAGUUACUCAUUUCCUGAAUUUAAUACGACAUAGAUCCCUUGUGGUUUAGCCUAGUAUUCAAUGCUAUAGACAUACCAGUUGUUCUGAUAGGAGCGUAAAAUAUUGAGUACAUCUUCCAAUGAAAUAAGAAAAUGUUUUGCAGUACAUGUUCAUGGAGGGCUUCUUUUUCUCCUCUUCUAUCUGUAUUUUUAUUCUUUUUCCAUCUGAACAAGAGUUUUUUAUUUUACUAUUAUUAUAAUUCAAUUCUUU
rnacentral:misc_RNA from 1 species